CCCGGCGACCGGCGCACGGGUGAGUAACACAUAUGCAACCUGGCCGCCACAGGGGGAUAACCCGCGGAAACGCGGCCUAAUACCCCGUGACGCCACCGGAGGGCAUCCUCCGGUGGCCAAAGAAGCGAUCCGGUGGCGGAUGGGCAUGCGGCGCAUUAGCUAGACGGCGGGGUGACGGCCCACCGUGGCGACGAUGCGUAGGGGUUCUGAGAGGAAGGCCCCCCACACUGGGACUGAGACACGGCCCAGACUCCUACGGGAGGCAGCAG
rnacentral:rRNA from 1 species